GAAUCAAUCUGGCAUUAUAAACAAUUCAAAGGCAAUUUUUAGAAUGAAAGCAAGCAAUUCUCUAUGAAUCCUUUACAAUGCCCAGAAUAA
rnacentral:pre_miRNA from 13 species